rnacentral:rRNA from 1 species
UACGGGGGGUGCGAGCGUUGUCCGGAAUCACUGGGCGUAAAGGGCGCGUAGGUGGUCUGAUAAGGGUGUGGUGAAAGCCCGGGGCUCAACCCCGGGUCGGCCGUGCCGACUGUCGGACUGGAGUGCUGUAGGGGCAGGCGGAAUUCCGGGUGUAGCGGUGGAAUGCGUAGAGAUCCGGAGGAAGACCGGUGGCGAAGGCGGCCUGCUGGGCAGUUACUGACACUGAGGCGCGACAGCGUGGGGAGCAAACAGG